AGAACAACUGUGAGGAUUUCGCGAUCUACUGCAAGACUGGUUUGCUAGUCUUUACAAAUGUCAGUGUAGGCCGGAGUGGGCAGGCAACAUCCUUUUUAGCUGCCACAACUGCCAUUGUUUCAUCACCACUGCGCUUUCUAACUACAGGUGUUUCUGGUCUGGCUGCUGUUGGUUUUGGUGUUUACUGUGUCAGCCGGUAUGUUUCUGAUAUUGGUGUACGUCGUGAUGUCAUGAAGAUCCCUGUUGAGAGACUUAUCCUAUGCCCUGGCCCUCUGGAGUCUGAAGCUGCUACUAUUACUGAUAUAUCAAAGGACAAGGGCUCGUAAUUCUAUGUAAGUUGACUGCAUGGAUCUCAUUAAGUAGGUUACUACAACAUACAAUGUUGUAGGUGUUGAUGUUGUCAUUGCUUUUGUGACUUAGGUUUGGUUAUUAUUGAAACAAUGGCCAUUUAAACUAGGCCUUGUGUGCAUUCUUCCAUCAAAUGAAUGCUUUGAUAUGUUAUUGUAAAUUGUUUAUAACAAUGUUCCAUGGUUCAUAUGGAAGACAG
rnacentral:misc_RNA from 1 species